UCCGUAGGCGGUGUGGCAAGUCGGUAGUGAAAUCUCUCGGCUUAACUGAGAGGCUGCUGCCGAAACUGCCAUGCUCGAGUGCGAGAGAGGCGAGUGGAAUUGCGGGUGUAGCGGUGAAAUGCGUAGAUAUCCGCAGGAACAUCCGAGGCGAAAGCGGCUCGCUGGAUCGCAACUGACGCUGAGGGACGAAAGCUAGGGGAGCAAACAGGAUUAGAUACCCUGGUAGUCCUAGCCCUAAACCAUCGGGACUUGGGGUUUGCCCUGUACGGGGCAAGUCCCGGAGCUAACGCGUUAAGUCCUGCGCCUGGGGAGUACGGUCGCAAGGCUGAA
rnacentral:rRNA from 1 species